rnacentral:lncRNA from 1 species
GUUUUUACCUCCAGACUUGAGUAAAUCACACAUUUUUAACUCACUCUAAGCAGUCUGGGAAUGCUAGAUUAUCCCCCUGUCCCAAGCAGCUGUGCUCUGAACCUAGGAACAUUUACCACCUCCACUGGGUGGAGAGGAAUGAUCAUGGGUUUCGAUCAACACUGUCCCUGUUGCAUACAUACAUAGCUAGAAAACAAGCCCAGUGAUUAUUCUACAGACAUAGCUAGAGAACAAGCCCAGUGAUUAUUCUACAGACCAUAGGAAGCAUCUACACCUCAGCUGUCGGCCGUUUGGUUACAGAAAUGCGAUCCUGCAAGUUGUCACCACUAUACAUAAAGUCAGGCUAUGAUAGCAUAUUUCACUUAAAAAUAAAUUAUCACAAUAUAAGGCACAUAUGUAUAUGGAAUCAGAUUCAUGAUUUGAAAAAUAUGCUUAAAUCACACUGAAUCAGCUUAGCAGAAAAAUAAUUAUAAAAUUUGAAAUAUCCCCUUUUCUUUUUGUUUUGUACUAAAUCAAUGUAGAAAACACACUUUCUACCCUGAAGGAAACUGCUGUCUUAUCUGAUAAAUUAUAUAAGCUCCAGUAAAUGUAUGUCAUCACCCUCAGGAAUGACAGGUCUCUCUUUCUCACGCUUGUGGGAAUUGAGCGUUGACACUGUAAGAACACUUGACUAAUAACCUUUGCCUAGACCUUCCAAACUCUGCGCGUAACUUCUUGAGAGAUCUGAAUAAAGGCCAAUAUUUUCACAGGUUGACAGGGUCUGGAGAAGUGGGUCACCGAGCACUCUGACAUUUUUAAGUUCAGUUUACAGUAACUCUUUGCAAAACUUCAGGUUUUGCUGUACUUCAAAUCAUUUGGGCAAAUUAUAAGAAAAUGAAUACAAAAUGUGUGACCCUUGGGUAAUUCUGCACUUGGCUUUGUUCUCCCUUGGUGCUUUUGAGGACAAUUUCUGCAAGGCCUGGUUUGGCUAAAAGGGACACUUCAUUGAAGAUCUCUAGGCCUUUUACUUUUUAAAGUGUCUUUUAUUCUAAAGCUAGUUAACCACAUAUAGAAGUAUGGUGUUUAUCAGUGAUGUAGAUCCAUUAUGACAAUGAAUGGGAAGAGGUAAUCUACUCCCCCCAUUCUGUGCAAAUCUCAAACGACAAAGCUAAGUUUUACUACAGAUAAAUCCAUAACCAGGGGAAGGAAGAAUUUUUAAAUGCCCAUUUUUUUCUUGUCCAAAUGUUUGAAAAAGAAACAUAUUGAAUCUCUAUCCAGUGGUGUGGUUUCUGGUCUUUCUGGUGUGCUCAAUUCUCUCUGUGUCAUUUUGGUGUAAAAAUACUAUCCUACAUUUACUUCCCUUGACCAGAAACCUUGAGACAUCAUAAAAAUGUUAAUUUAGCAUUAUUACUUCAUGCAUUCAACAAUGCUGAUUUCAUGAAACCACACAAACAGGAUUCUUUUGUUUUAUUGAUAACAGAAACUGUGCAUAAUUACAGAUUUGAUGAGGAAUCUGCAAAUAAUAAAGAAUGUGUCUAUUGCCAGCAAAA